CCUUAAUGUGUUAAAUGACAGAAAAUUUAAAUUAUCUAUGUUUUUUGUCAAAAUGGAGAAUUCUAAAGAUGCAAACUCUUCACUGUGUCAGCUAACAAUCCAUCAAUAACUUAGUAGUUGUUGCUUGAAGUUCACAGGAAAUAUGUCUACAAUGGGGCACUUUGCUAAGGAAUAUAGGGCAGCAUUUGAACCUGAGUCUUCCCGAUUUGAAGUCCAGACCUCUCUCCAUUAUGCCACAUUGUCUUCAUAAUAUUGCAUCAAUAUCAGUUAUUAUUAUUGCAUGUUUUUGGAAUCCAUGUAGAUAUAAUUAGCAAUAUUUUUCUUGUAAUGUUGGCAAGAUCACAGAAUUUCAGGAUCAGAAGGGACCUUAAAGGCUGUCCAUUGUGACCCCAUGUGUAAAAAAUAGACUCGAAUACAUUACUACAAUCCCCACGAGCCUUUGCUCCACUUCCCAGAAUGCCUUGUAAUCUCACCUGGGCCGAGAUCGAGAAGGUAUUUAAGCUGAUUCAAAGGCUUUUGAGGUGCUCUCUCUCUUGGCUCUUUUUGGACUUCUGUUUUGGAGCAGGAGGUCUCUUGUGUGAUGUGAGGUUAUUUUGUCUAGGCCUCUGGCCUAGGCACAUGUUUCUUACUUGUAUAUUCUUUAAUCUUUAACCUUUAAUAAACCUCUAAAAAAUAUAAUACUCCUUGCAGAGAGAAACUAAUUUCUACCUGCCUCAGUCUCCCCAUCUCCCCUAAAUUUUAAUCUUUACACAUGCCUGAACACAUAUAUCCUUUGUAAUAUCCUUAUUAUUCUUGUAGAUUUAUUUUUAAAUGUGCCUGAUUCUUCAUGAUUCUGUUUGGGGUUUUCUUGGGAAAGACACUGGAGUCAUUUCCCAUUUCCUUCUCCUUGUUUUACAGUUGAGGAAACUGUGGCAAAUAACAUUAAGUGACUUACCUAGGGUCCCACAGCUAGCAAAUGUCUGAAACCAGAUUUGAACUCAGGAAGCUGAGUUUUCCUGACUCCAUGCCCAGUGCUCUAUUUACUGUGCCACCUAGCUAUCUUACAGCAUCCUGGACAAGUGUUAAUCUUGCUUUUGGAAAGAGACAUUCAGUGAAGAAGAACAUAUGUCAGAAGUCAGCUCAACUUUGGGACAACUGGAAUUCCUGCUGCUCCCAGGAAUAGAGACCCCUCAGGUCAUGCCCACACCCCUUAUUAACCUUCAUUGAUGCAGAGACUACAAGCAAAAUAGGAUGAACCAGGUCAACAACAAAUCCAGGAGGGGUAAGAGAUGAAAUUUCUUUUACACAGGAAUCUUCACUACAGCAAACAAAUCUU
rnacentral:lncRNA from 1 species